CUUGUUUUCAUCGGUUCACAAUGUUUUCCUUCUAAAACCCUCGUCACGGAAUUGCUAAAGACGAUACUUGCUGUAUAGAAAUUAAACCCCUUCAACAGGAUCAGAGAUCCUCUGCAAAUCCGAUGACACCCAAAAAACUUCUUAUUGUUGAUCACAAUUCCAAGCCCAAAACCAAACUCGGUCCACCCGCCACACCGCCGAAUUCCGCCCCAUCUUCAUCAACCACCACUCCACCGUCCGAUAAGAGGACCCGGGAUCUUCCAAAUUUAUCCGAUUGUCAUUGCUGUGGGAUCCGAAUCAAUCACAGCAACCCGAAAGAUCAGCUGCAACCAUUGGACAGCGUCUGGCGCAUUGUUCUUCUGUGUAGAAAAUGCAGCAAGAAAGUUCAAUCAGGCCAAACGUGCUCUUACUGCUUCAGAGAAACGGAGAAUUCAGGUAUUAUUGUUGAAUGUCGUGAUUGUGGUCGCCGGAUUCACCUAGAUUGUGUUAAGAAUUAUGGGGAUUGCAGGCCGUGGUGUUAUUUGGGGCUAGGUUUAGGGUUUAGGGUCUGUGUGGAUUGUUGGGUUCCGGAUUUGCUAAAGAAUUCCGUCAGGAUCCAUAGGAGGAGUGAUAAUAAGGAUGUGGUGAAAUCUUGUGCAACUGACGGGGAUUUGAAAAACUGUCGGCAGAAGGGGAAGAAGGUGGAAUGUGAGGUGGAGAAGAGGGUGAAGAUGGUAGCCGUUGAAAAGAAGGCUUCGAGGAAGUCUGUGGUGGCGAAGAAUGCAUUGGAGUUGGCAGAAACUGUUUUGGAUAUGGCAGAUAAGAAUGGGAAAAAGGGUGAUGAUAUUAGUAGCGAUGCAAUUGAGGUUGUCGAUGAUGUGGAAUUUGCAAUUCAAUUGCAUCGUGCAAUGAAUAGUUCACCAAGGAUUUUGAGGAAUAAAUGCGAUGGGAGAUCAAGUUGUUUUGAGAUUCUGAAGAGUAGGAAUUCUGAUAGUUUGUUGUCUAGAAAGUCGGGUUUAGGAAGGAAUGAAUGUGAAGGUAAGAAUCCCGACAUGUAUAUAAAUGUUAUGGAGAAUGAAAUACUUAUCGGGACUAGCGAGGACGAUUCUUGCCUUCAUGCAGAUAAAUUGAAACAGGGACUAUUAACUUACAAGCGGGACAGGAAGAGGAAAUUAUGGCAAGUAGAUGAUGGCAACGACGUGGUCUCUGAAUCUAAUUGUAGUCAGCAAGUUGAUUCAAAGGACGAGUUUCAUUUCAAUGGCUCUAACUCUGGGUGUCAGGUGAGAUUCAAUGGUGUUAUCUACAAGCGGGACAAAAAGAGGAAGUUAUGGCUUGUAGAUUAUGACAAUGCCAUGGCCUCUGAAUCUAUAUUUAAUCAGCAAGAUGAUUUAAAGUUCAGUUUACAUUCAAAUGGUGCUAAGUCUGGGUCUCCAUUGAAAAGUAAUGGUGAUAUUUACAAGAGGGAUAAAAAUAGGAAGUUAUGGCAAGUAGAAGAUAAUAGCAUCAUGGUUUCUAAAUCUAAGUUUAAACAGGAAGAUUUAGAGUGUCCUUUGAACCCCAGUGAUGCAAUAGAAAGAUUUAGGCAAGAGCCCAUAAUUUACAAGCGGACUAGGUUCAAGUUGAAGGCAUGCCAAGAAAAUGGCAAGGUACUUGUAUUUGGGGAAUGCAAUUCUGGUUUUUACAACAGAGUGGCCUUGGAACUUCAGUAUCAUCAGCAAGAUGAUUUGAAACAUGAGUUGCCUUCGGGGGACAGCAGUGAUAGUUUUGCAGUAAAAUGUGUUGAGAUAACUUUGCCAGAUGGAAGUUGUCGAGAGGAGCCUGACCGCUAUUUUUUCAAGUAUGGUUCGAGGCGAAUAGGUGCCAAAUCAGGCUCAAUUUGUGAAACCGAGCUGCAUUCUGAUGCAUCUCCUAAUGAAAAUCAGGUCUCCGUUGCUUCUUUGUCAAUAGAAAGGCUAGUUGGCUAGUGAAGUGUGAUGACAAAGUGAUUUUGUCAGAUGGAAGCUUAUACAAAGAGCCGGAUCGCUAUUUUUAAAAGUAUGGCCGGAGGGUGACAGGUUUGAAAUCUGGCUCAUAUUGUGAAACCAACCUGCAUUUUGAUGAUUCACAGAAACAAAAUCUGUCCUCUGCUCCUGGAUUGACUAUGAAUUGUUCUUCAAAAUCUAAGACGCGGUCUAAUGUUUCAUUUAAUUUCUAUCCUGUUAAUUUGCAAGCAUCUACUUCUGUAAGUGGUCAAUCUGUAGAAGAGCCCUUGAUAAAACAGGUAUAAUAGUUGUUUGUGACUCCUAAUUUUUUUUUUUUUUUUUUUUUUUACUCAUGAAAUUCCCAAAUAUCUGCUGUUUUAGUAGUGGAACGUGUUUCAUAUGUCAUACAAAGAGCUGGAUCGCUAUUUUUAAAAGUAUGGCCGAGGGUGACAGGUUAGAAUUCUGGCUCAAAUUGUGAAACCAACCUGUAUUUUGAUGCUUCGCAGAAAGAAAAUCUUUCUUCUGCUCCUGGAUUGACUGUGAAUUGUUCUUCAAAAUCUAGGACGCUGUCUAAUGUUUCAUUUAAUUUCUGUCCUGUUAAUUUGCAAGCAUCUACUUAUGUAAGUGGUCAAUCUGUAGAAGAGCCCUAGAUAAAACAGGU
rnacentral:lncRNA from 1 species